CAAGUCGAACGGUGACGACCAGCUUGCUGGUCUGAUCAGUGGCGAACGGGUGAGUAACACGUGAGCAACCUGCCCUUCACUCUGGGAUAACCACGGGAAACGGUGGCUAAUACCGGAUACGAGACGUACCUGCAUGGGUGGCGUCUGGAAAGAUUUAUCGCCUAAGGAUGAGCCCGCGUAGGAUUAGCUUGUUGGUGAGGUAAAGGCUCACCAAGGCGACGAUCCUUAGCCGGCCUGAGAGGGUGACCGGCCACACUGGGACUGAGACACGGCCCAGACUCCUACGGGAGGCAGCAGUGGGGAAUAUUGCACAAUGGGUGCAAGCCUGAUGCAGCAACGCCGCGUGAGGGACGACGGCCUUCGGGUUGUAAACCUCUUUUAGCAAGGAAGAAGCGAAAGUGACGGUACUUGCAGAAAAAGCGCCGGCUAACUACGUGCCAGCAGCCGCGGUAAUACGUAGGGCGCAAGCGUUAUCCGGAAUUAUUGGGCGUAAAGAGCUCGUAGGCGGUUUGUCGCGUCUGCUGUGAAAUCCCGAGGCUCAACCUCGGGUCUGCAGUGGGUACGGGCAGACUAGAGUGCGGUAGGGGAGAUUGGAAUUCCUGGUGUAGCGGUGGAAUGCGCAGAUAUCAGGAGGAACACCGAUGGCGAAGGCAGAUCUCUGGGCCGUAACUGACGCUGAGGAGCGAAAGGGUGGGGAGCAAACAGGCUUAGAUACCCUGGUAGUCCACCCCGUAAACGUUGGGAACUAGUUGUGGGGUCCAUUCCACGGAUUCCGUGACGCAGCUAACGCAUUAAGUUCCCCGCCU
rnacentral:rRNA from 1 species